rnacentral:rRNA from 1 species
GAUCAAAUCAAGCGCGAAAAGGGCGUUUGGUGGAUGCCUUGGCAGUAAGAGGCGAUGAAGGACGUGAUACUCUGCGAUAAGCCAUGAGGAGCUGAGAAUAAGCUUUGAUCCAUGGAUUUCCGAAUGGGGCAACCCACCUGACAGUUUGUUAUAAUUGCCUUUGGGCAGUUUAUAACGGGCUGAACCAGGUACUUUUUGACUGAAUACAUAGGUCUUAAAGAGCAAACCCGGAGAACUGAAACAUCUAAGUACCCGGAGGAAAGGACAGCAAUAGCGACUCCCCUAGUAGCGGCGAGCGAACGGGGAUCAGCCGAGCCUGAUAAGUGACCAGAACAUGUUGGGAAGCAUGGCCAUAGCGGGUGACAGCCCCGUAUGGGAAGCUUUGAAGGACGUAUCAAGUAGGGCGGAACACGUGAAAUUCUGUCUGAAGAUCGGAGGACCACCUUCGAAGGCUAAGUACUCCUUACUGACCGAUAGCGAACCAGUACCGUGAGGGAAAGGUGAAAAGCACCCCGACGAGGGGAGUGAAACAGUACCUGAAACCGAACGCCUACAAUCAGUCGGAGCUUGACUGGACUCUUAUAUAUUCGCCCCGUUCAUUGCGGGCCCACAAGGGCUGUGUAAUGGUCAAGGAGCGGGACUACGAUGCGAUUUGAGGGUCAUGCAAAUGGCCUCAAGUAGCGCAGCGGUAGGCCGAAUAUAUAAGUGUCCAGUCUUGUGACGGCGUACCUUUUGUAUAAUGGGUCAUCGACUUGGUCUAUCUAGCAAGCUUAAGCCGUUAGGUGUAGGCGCAGCGAAAGCGAGUCUUAAUAGGGCGUUGAGUUAGAUGGAUCAGACCCGAAACCGAGUGAUCUAGGCAUGACCAGGAUGAAGGUUGGGUAACACCAACUGGAGGUCCGAACCCACACCUGUUGAAAAAGGUCGGGAUGAGUUGUGCCUAGGGGUGAAAGGCCAAUCAAACUCGGAGAUAGCUGGUUCUCUGCGAAAUCUAUUUAGGUAGAGCGUCAUCCGAAUACCCUCGGGGGUAGAGCACUGGAUGGGUAAUGGGGCCCCACAGGCUUACUGAUCCUAACCAAACUCCGAAUACCGAGGAGUACUAGAUGGCAGACAGACUGCGAAUGCUAACGUCCGUAGUCGAGAGGGAAACAACCCUGACCUACAGCUAAGGCCCCUAAUUCAUGGCUAAGUGGGAAAGCAGGUGGGACGACCAAAACAACCAGGAGGUUGGCUUAGAAGCAGCCAUCCUUUAAAGAUAGCGUAACAGCUCACUGGUCUAAAUAAGUUGUCCUGCGGCGAAGAUGUAACGGGGCUCAAGCCAUGAGCCGAAGCUUAGGAUGCCGUAAGGCAUGGUAGCAGAGCGUAGUGUGACAUGGUUUCUAUCCUCUUUAGUGUCCCUCGGGACAUCAUGGAGGGUAAGAAAUCUUCGAUGAAGCGGGCCUGUGAGGGAUCCCGUGGAGAGAUCACUAGUGAGAAUGAUGACAUGAGUAGCGAUAAAGGGUGUGAGAGACACCCUCGCCGAAAGUCCAAGGGUUCCUGCUUAAAGCUAAUCUGAGCAGGGUAAGCCGACCCCUAAGGCGAGGCCGAAAGGCGUAGUCGAUGGGAACCAGGUUAAUAUUCCUGGGCCAGAUGGAAGUGACGGAUCAGAGAGGUUGUUCGUUCUUAUCGGAUUGAACGGGCCGCUGACUGGUUCCUGGAAAUAGCUCCAUCGCUAGAUCGUACCCUAAACCGACACAGGUGGACUGGUAGAGAAUACCAAGGCGCUUGAGAGAACUAUGUUGAAGGAACUCGGCAAAAUACCUCCGUAAGUUCGCGAGAAGGAGGCCCGGUUUCUAGGCAACUAGAGGCUGGGGGCACAAACCAGGGGGUGGCGACUGUUUACUAAAAACACAGGGCUCUGCGAAGUCGCAAGACGACGUAUAGGGUCUGACGCCUGCCCGGUGCCUGAAGGUUAAAAGGAGGGGUGAGAGCUCUGAAUUGAAGCCCAGGUAAACGGCGGCCGUAACUAUAACGGUCCUAAGGUAGCGAAAUUCCUUGUCGGGUAAGUUCCGACCUGCACGAAUGGCGUAACGACUUCCCCGCUGUCUCCAACAUAGACUCAGCGAAAUUGAAUUACCUGUCAAGAUGCAGGUUUCCCGCGGUUAGACGGAAAGACCCCGUGCACCUUUACUAUAGCUUCGCACUGGCAUCAGGAUUGUGAUGUGCAGGAUAGGUGGUAGGCUUUGAAGCAGGGACGCUAGUCCCUGUGGAGCCUCCCUUGAGAUACCACCCUUCGCACUCUUGAUGUCUAACCGCGGCCCGUUAUCCGGGUCCGGGACCCUGCGUGGUGGGUAGUUUGACUGGGGCGGUCGCCUCCUAAAGCGUAACGGAGGCGCGCGAAGGUUGGCUCAGAGCGGUCGGAAAUCGCUCGUUGAGUGCAAUGGCAGAAGCCAGCCUGACUGCGAGACUGACAAGUCGAGCAGAGUCGAAAGACGGCCAUAGUGAUCCGGUGGUCCCAAGUGGGAGGGCCAUCGCUCAACGGAUAAAAGGUACGCCGGGGAUAACAGGCUGAUACUGCCCAAGAGUCCAUAUCGACGGCAGUGUUUGGCACCUCGAUGUCGGCUCAUCUCAUCCUGGGGCUGGAGCAGGUCCCAAGGGUACGGCUGUUCGCCGUUUAAAGAGGUACGUGAGCUGGGUUUAGAACGUCGUGAGACAGUUCGGUCCCUAUCUGCCGUGGGUGUAGGAUACUUGAGAGGAGUUGCCCCUAGUACGAGAGGACCGGGGUGAACGAACCACUGGUGGACCUGUUGUGGCGCCAGCCGCAGUGCAGGGUAGCUAUGUUCGGACAGGAUAACCGCUGAAGGCAUCUAAGCGGGAAGCCCCCCUCAAAACAAGGUAUCCCUGAGAGCCGUGGUAGACCACCACGUCGAUAGGCCAGAGAUGUAAGCGCAGCAAUGCGUUCAGUUGACUGGUACUAAUGGCUCGAUAGGCUUGAUUUGAUCCAG